ensembl:lncRNA
GGGCUUAUUGUGGAAGAUAAACAGAUAAUACACAUGAAGCACUUAGCUCAGUCGCUAGCACAUAGCACACAGUUAAAAAAAAAAAAAAAGUCGACGGUUACUUCAUUUUUAUGUCUGCAAUCGCGUGUAUAGUCAUCACACUUUCAUCACUCAUGUAAUGAUAUCCAUUCAGGCAACAAGUUAUGCCUGGCUACAGGGACAUAUCACACAGCCACCAUAGGACACUAUAAAAAUCCACCUUUUCUAAACAGUGCCACACAGGCUGCAUUUAUGAAAUCCAGUUACCAUUUCACUAGCUCCCUACUCAUACACACAGAAAAAGAUGAAUAAAGACUGAGGUCAAGUUAAUAGCUUAAAAUAGAGGUUUAUUUAUUUUAAGGCCUGUGGAGUAGCAGGGAGUAGAAAAUUGUAACAAUUGGUACAAUUAUGAUCAUUAUCCCUAUCACAUCAUUCUUAUCACUAGUGUGAACAGAACUCUUGGGCUGGUCAGCAUCUCAGAUUUCUGUACUUGCUUUUUCUGCAGGAACUAGAGAAUGCUUCAUUGCUCCUUUACAACAGGAGUGGUUUUGCCAUUCAAUUAUCUUCUCCAUCACACUCAAUAGAAGUUAAAAGAUGGCAUUUUGGUCUUUUAUUCAAGCAGGGGAUCUUUCUACACGUUUCAUUACAGGAGAAGCAACUGGUAUAGCUAAUUCAAUGUACUGUAACUAAUGCCUUGGAAAUGCCCAAAGCACACCAACCCUAAUCCACUUUGAAGACUAACCGUAUUCCGCAUGCUAGGUUUUGUAUUAAGCUAUACAUUAUAGUGAAAUCAGCUCUAGGGGAAAAUCCUCUUUCAACCCAAGCUAAAACCAUUUUUAUUUAUUUCUAAAACGUACAAGAGCCUGAUGCAAUAGAAAAAAUGAAAGAAACCUCAGUAAUAAGAUACCAAUUUAACUGUUGGCUGAGCUACUGCAAUGGCAGAUAUGUGGUUUUUGAACAAAGGUUGUGUGUAUAUGCAUGAUACCUAGAACUCCCAAGAUGCAUGUUGGUCCAAAAAGUAACAGUGACUAUAUUUUAAUAGAAAACACUAAUAGCAAGCUUCAAAGUCACCAUUUUGCCUAUGAGGCAUAAUGGCAAAGUUGGUUCAUUAAUCAGUAGACUAACAGGAGAGCCGCUAUUAAAUCUUUUUAACACACAAAGAAUUGCGGAAAGAAGAAAUGAGUUGCUUGGAAAAAAGUGAGAACCUAAUGACAUUUAUUUACCCUGGCAGAAGAGUAAAUGGUCAGAGAAUUGCAUCCUACCCAGAUCAAAGACCUUAAUGACAAAAAUGAUCUUCACCUGACCAAGAUCUAAGGAGUCCUGAAGUUCACCAAGAAUACAGCGCUUCAUCACAAGACCAAGCACCCCCUGGCUCUGCUAUGCAUUGACUGAAAAGAUAGCAAUGUCAUCAUGAGACCUAGACAAGGCUUUGGAAUUUCAGAUAAAUGGGCCCCAAAGAAAAGGCAGCCUUGGCUGGGCGCGGUGGCUCACGCCUGUAAUCCCAGCACUUUGGGAGGCUGAGGCGGGCGGAUCAUGAGGUCAAGAAAUCGAGACCAUCCUGGCAAACAUGGCAAAACGCCAUCUCUGCUGAAAAUACAAAAAUUAACUGGGUGUCAUGGUGCACGCCUGUAGUCCCAGCUACUUGGGAAGUUGAGGCAAGAGAAUCGCUUGAACCUGGUCGGCGGAGGUUGCAGUGAGCCGAGAUCACGCCACUGCACUCCAGCCUGGCAACAGAGCCAGACUCUGUCUCAAAAAAAAAAGAAAAAAGAAAAA